CGGACCCUACGGGGGGCAGCAGUAGGGAAUCUUCGGCAAUGGGGGCAACCCUGACCGAGCAACGCCGCGUGAGUGAAGAAGGUUUUCGGAUCGUAAAGCUCUGUUGUAAGGCAAGAACGGGUGUGAGAGUGGAAAGUUCACACUUUGACGGUAGCUUACCAGAAAGGGACGGCUAACUACGUGCCAGCAGCCGCGGUAAUACGUAGGUCCCGAGCGUUAUCCGGAUUUAUUGGGCGUAAAGCGAGCGCCGGCGGUUUGAUAAGUCUGAAGGUAAAGGCUGUG
rnacentral:rRNA from 1 species